AUUGAACGCUGGCGGCAGGCCUAACACAUGCAAGUCGAGCGAGCGGCGGACGGGUGAGUAAUGUAUGGGGACUGCCCGAUAGAGGGGGAUAACUACUGGAAACGGUGGCUAAUACCGCAUACUAUCGGAUAACCCCUAUGGGAUUAGCUAGUAGGUAAGGUAAUGGCUUACCUAGGCGACGAUCCCUAGCUGGUCUGAGAGGAUGAUCAGCCAAACGGGGACUGCGAACCGUCCAAAACCCUGACGGGGGCAACGGUGGGGAAUAUUGCACAAUGGCGCAAGCCUGAUGCAGCCAUGCCGCGUGUAUGAAGAAGGCCCUAGGGUUGUAAAGUACUUUCAGUCGGGAGGCGUUACCGACAGAAGAAGCACCGGCUAACUCCGUGCCAGCAGCCGCGGUAAUUC
rnacentral:rRNA from 1 species